CCUACGGGUGGCAGCAGUGAGGAAUAUUGGUCAAUGGCCGCGAGCCUGAACCAGCCAAGUCGCGUGAGGGAAUACGGCCCUAUGGGUCGUAAACCUCUUUUGCCAGGGAGCAAAGGCCUCCACGAGUGGACGCAAUGAGAGUACCUGGAGAAAAAGCAUCGGCUAACUCCGUGCCAGCAGCCGCGGUAAUACGGAGGAUCCGAGCGUUAUCCGGAUUUAUUGGGUUUAAAGGGUGCGUAGGUGGGUUGUUAAGUCAGCUGUGAAAAUUUGGGGCUCAACCCUAUAAGUGCAGUUGAUACUGGCAGCCUUGAGUGAGGGAGAGGUAGGCGGAAUGCGUGGUGUAGCGGUGAAAUGCAUAGAUAUCACGAAGAACGCCGAUUGCGAAGGCAGCCUACUGGACUUCAACUGACGUUGAUGCACGAAAGUGUGGGUAUCAAACAGGAUUAGAUACCCGAGUAGUC
rnacentral:rRNA from 1 species